rnacentral:rRNA from 1 species
GACAGAGGAUGCAAGCGUUAUCCGGAAUGAUUGGGCGUAAAGCGUCUGUAGGUGGCUUUUUAAGUCCGCCGUCAAAUCCCAGGGCUCAACCCUGGACAGGCGGUGGAAACUACCAAGCUGGAGUACGGUAGGGGCAGAGGGAAUUUCCGGUGGAGCGGUGAAAUGCGUAGAGAUCGGAAAGAACACCAACGGCGAAAAGCAACUCUGCUGGGCCGACACUGACAUGAGAGACGAAAAGCUAGGGGGAGCGAAAUGGGG